rnacentral:rRNA from 1 species
AGCGAACGCUGGCGGCAGGCCUAACACAUGCAAGUCGAACGGACCCUUCGGGGUUAGUGGCGGACGGGUGAGUAACACGUGGGAACGUGCCUUUAGGUUUGGAAUAGCUCCUGGAAACGGGUGGUAAUGCCGAAUGUGCCCUUCGGGGGAAAGAUUUAUCGCCCUUAGAGCGGCCCGCGUCUGAUUAGCUAGUUGGUGAGGUAAUGGCUCACCAAGGCGACGAUCAGUAGCUGGUCUGAGAGGAUGACCAGCCACAUUGGGACUGAGACACGUCCCAAACUCCUACGGGAGGCAGCAGUGGGGAAUCUUGCGCAAUGGGCGAAAGCCUGACGCAGCCAUGCCGCGUGGAUGAUGAAGGUCUUAGGAUUGUAAAAUCCUUUCACCGGUGAAGAUAAUGACUGUAGCCGGAGAAGAAGCCCCGGCUAACUUCGUGCCAGCAGCCGCCGUAA